AGCGAACGCUGGCGGCAGGCCUAACACAUGCAAGUCGAACGGAUCCUUCGGGAUUAGUGGCGGACGGGUGAGUAACACGUGGGAACGUGCCCUUUGGUUCGGAACAACUCAGGGAAACUUGAGCUAAUACCGGAUGUGCCCUUCGGGGGAAAGAUUUAUCGCCAUUGGAGCGGCCCGCGUCUGAUUAGCUAGUUGGUGGGGUAAAGGCCCACCAAGGCGACGCUCAGUAGCUGGUCUGAGAGGAUGAUCAGCCACAUUGGGACUGAGACACGGCCCAAACUCCUACGGGAGGCAGCAGUGGGGAAUCUUGCGCAAUGGGCGAAAGCCUGACGCAGCCAUGCCGCGUGAAUGAUGAAGGUCUUAGGAUUGUAAAAUUCUUUCACCGGGGACGAUAACGACGGUACCCGGAGAAGUAGCCCCGGCUAACUUCGUGCCAGCCGCCGCAGUAAGAC
rnacentral:rRNA from 1 species